AAAGAAAGAAAGAAAGAAAGAAAGAAAGAAAAAGAGAGACUAGGCUUUUCUUUCCUUUUCUUUUCCUAUUCUUUUCUUUUCUUUUCCAUUUCUAUUCCUU
rnacentral:ribozyme from 14 species